rnacentral:rRNA from 1 species
UACGAAGGGGGCCAGCGUUGUUGGGAAUUACUGGGCGUAAAGCGCACGUAGGCGGAUUUGUAAGUCAGGGGUGAAAUCGCGGGGCUCAACCUCGGAACUGCCUUUGAUACUGCAAGUCUCGAGUCCGGAAGAGGUGAGUGGAAUUCCUAGUGUAGAGGUGAAAUUCGUAGAUAUUAGGAAGAACGCCAGUGGCGAAGGCGGCUCACUGGUCAGGUAGUGACGCUGAGGUGCGAAAGCGUGGGGAGCAAACAGG